GCACUUUGUAAUUCACCCUGAAUGCGCCCUGUGUGGUUGAAGCUCAGAAGCAAACCAGCGUUGACCCUGAUCAGUACUCGGGUGCGCAGACUGCCUGGGAAUACCAGGCGCUAUAGGCU
rnacentral:rRNA from 1 species